rnacentral:lncRNA from 1 species
CGGAAAUGAGGUCCUUCUGGUGGGAGCAGGGUUGUAUGGAUCACUCUCAGUCCUUUCUCUGUUGUUUUUUCAUUCGCUUUGGCCUGCACGUGAUGAGAGCACCCCUGCACGUAAGGCUCGGUGAACUGCAGACAGCGCCGUGUCCUUGGAGCACUUCACGGCAAAACAACGGAUGGAAGUGAUGGAUAAAUCCACAUCAGGCACUUUCCCUCCCCACCGGAUGAAGGACUUUCCUGGUCUCUGUACAGUGUUUAGGACAAAAUGAAACCAAAAUUUUUUUGCUGGUUCCAGAAGAACCCUGAUGUACACAAAGCAGCCCACUUUCUGGCUCCACAAAAAAUAAA